ACCUGGGUGGCUCAGUUGGUUGAGCAUCUGACUUUGGCUCAGGUCAUGAUCUUGCAGUUCGUGGGUUCGAGCCCCACACCAGGCU
rnacentral:tRNA from 1 species